rnacentral:lncRNA from 1 species
GCGCGGUGGCUCGCGCCUGUAAUCCCAGCACUUUGGGAGGCCAAGGCAGGAGGAUUGCUUGAGCCCAGGAGUUUGAGACCAGCUUGGGCAAUAUAGUGGGGCCUUGUCUCUACAAAAAAAUAGUUAAAAAUUAUCUGAAUAUGGAUUGCUUGAGUCUAGAAGGCGGAGGUUGCAGUAAGCUGAGAUAGCGCCACUGUACACCAGCCUGGGUGACAGAGAGACCCUGUCUCAAAAAAAAGAAGACUGUGGCUGGGCACGGUGGCUCACGCCUGUAACCCCAGCACUUUGGGAGGCCGAGGAGGGUGGAUCACUUGAGGUCAGGAGUUCGAGACCAGCCUGGCCAACAUGGUGAAACCCCGUCUCCACUAAAAAUACAAAAA